ensembl:lncRNA
GUUAAGUUUCCUAGGAGGCAGCAGACGGGUAAACAAUGGCGGUGGCAGGCGGGGCCGGCGAGGGGCUGUCUCCCCCUCCCACUCCUCAUUCUGCUGGGACAAGGGGGGGGGGUCCCCAGGGCGAGGAGGAGGGUCCCCUCCCCGACCGGGUCCCGAGAGCCCACGAGCACCCGGGGCACUGGCGCACAGACGGGGGACAGCGGGGCCACCGCCGAGAUGAGCAAGGGGGACCUCAGAAGGGAAGCUGGGGCGGCGGGGAACAAAGGAGGGACCUGAGGCCCGGGCUCCGCCCUCUGCACACCCUGCCUGCCCCCCCCAACCCCCAGCCGGCCGCCAGUCCAGCUGUGGCUGCUCCCAGCUGCCUGGCUCCCCACAUCUGGCGGGCUGCGCGCUCACUUCCUGUCGCCCUGGCUGCCUGGAGGGAGGAUCUUUGUUCCCCAAUCGGAGAUUGAACCCAGUGGAAGCAUAGAGUCCCAAACCACUGACCUGCCAGAGCAGCCCCCAGUGAGUCUAUUUAAAGCAUAGCUUUGGUCACUACGUGUCGAUGACCUUCCUCUCCAAUCAUCUCCUUGAGGGGGCCCUCAGGUGUCUCUGACUCCAUCUGCUCAUCCUUCCUCCGUGGUUCCUCGGUCCCCACACUUGGUCCACCCCUGAGACCUGUCUGCCUCCUGAAGCUGCCUGUUUCCACCUGUUCCCCGGGGCCUCCGUCCUAAUUCAAGCCGGUGGACAGCCAGCCACACGGGUCUCCCUGUUGGCCCUCUGCUUCCUCUCAUGUCCUCGUUGCUGUGUGCUUGCCCUGGUGGACCUGCUGAUCACCUCCCACUAAAUCUGCUAUAUCAUGAUUUCAGACAAUGGUUACACAACUUGUAUGCGUAUGUCAAAACUCAGAGAACCAUGUAAAGGCAGAAUUUUACUCUAUGUAAAUAAUACCUCAAUAUAUUUAACUAAAAAUAGAAACCCAGACUUCCCUGGUGAUCCAAAGAUAAAGAAUCUGCCUGCAAAUGCAGGGGACACGCGUUCAGUCCCUGAUCAGGGAGUAUUCCACAUGCUGCAGGGCAACUAAGCCCGUCUGCCGAAACCACUGAAGACCAUGUGCCCUAGAACCCGGGCUCUGUAACAAGAGAAGUCACUGCAAUGAGAAGCUCCAGCACGGCAGCUGGAGAGCAGCCCCCACUCACCACAGCUGCAGAGAGCCCACGCACAGCAAUGGAGACCCAGCACAGCCAUAAAAAAUAAAAUUUAAAAAAACCUUCCAAAUCUUCUCACGCUAUACUUAUAUCCAAACCCCUCAUUGACCACCAAAGCCCUGCAUGACCUCACCCCCUCCAGAAGCCUUCCCUGAUUGCACCUCAUCCUCCAGACUGGCUCCAUACCUCCCCAACACUCCCUUAUCCUUCUGGCUUUCAGCACUGAAAACUCUUCAUUGCAGUUGGCUAGCUACGUGACUGUCUGCCCCACCUCACAGUGGCAGGCAGGUGCGUGCCACGUCAUUUUGUUCUCCAUGUCAGAAAUGCAGUGAUCAUCAAUACGUCCAGACAACAGUCUGAGACUCUCCUCUGAGUGCUCCAACAUAUAAUGUUCAAAGGCGAUAGGGUGGACUUCCCUGGUAGUACAGGGGCUAAGAAUCCACUUUGCAAUGCAAGAGACAUGGGUUCGCUCCCUGGAAGAUUCCACAUGCUAUGGGGCAACUAAGCCCACGUGCCACAACAAAUGAGCUUGAGCUCCAGUAGCCCUUGAGCCACAGCUACUGAGACCACGUGCUGCAACUACUGAAGCCUGUGCACCUAGAGCCUGUACUCGGCAACAAGAGAAGCCACUGCAACGAGAGGCCCGCACACCGCCCACCGCAAAGAGUAGCCCUGCUUGCCGCAGCUAGUGAAAGCCUGCGCGUAGCAAUGAAGACACAGCGCAACCAAAAAAUAAAAAAUAAGAGUGAUGA